rfam:Equus caballus chromosome 22, whole genome shotgun sequence.
UUUAAAUGGUCUUCCUUCCAGGUGUCUUCCCUGAGAAAGGCGUCGCAGAGUCCCAGAACUUAGUUAUUUUGGGCUGCGGCGCUGACGGAUGGCUGCUGGAGCCGUUGUGGUGUUCCC